rnacentral:rRNA from 1 species
UACAGAGGUGGCAAGCGUUGUCCGGAUUUACUGGGCGUAAAGGAUGCGUAGGUGGAUGUUUAAGUCAGAUGUGAAAUACCCGAGCUUAACUUGGGUGCUGCAUUUGAAACUGGAUAUCUGGAGUGCAGGAGAGGUAAGUGGAAUUCCUAGUGUAGCGGUGAAAUGCGUAGAGAUUAGGAAGAACACCAGUGGCGAAGGCGACUUACUGGACUGUAACUGACACUGAGGCACGAAAGCGUGGGGAGCAAACAGG